rnacentral:misc_RNA from 1 species
GCUGAAGAACGUAGCGAAAUGCGAUAAGUAAUGUGAAUUGCAGAAUUCAGUGAAUCAUCGAAUCUUUGAACGCACAUUGCGCCCGCCAGCAUUCUGGCGGGCAUGCCUGUUCGAGCGUCAUUUCAACCCUCGAGCCCCCCCGGGGGCCUCGGUGUUGGGGGACGGCACACCAGCCGCCCCCGAAAUGCAGUGGCGACCCCGCCGCAGCCUCCCCUGCGUAGUAGCACACACCUCGCACCGGAGCGCGGAGGCGGUCACGCCGUAAAACGCCCAACUUUCUUAGAGUUGACCUCGGAUCAGGUAGGAAUACCCGCUGAACUUAAGCAUAUCAAUAAGCGGAGGA